UACGGGGGGGGCAAGCGUUGUUCGGAAUUACUGGGCGUAAAGGGCUCGUAGGCGGCCAACUAAGUCAGACGUGAAAUCCCUCGGCUUAACCGGGGAACUGCGUCUGAUACUGGAUGGCUAGAGGUUGGGAGAGGGAUGCGGAAUUCCAGGUGUAGCGGUGAAAUGCGUAGAUAUCUGGAGGAACACCGGUGGCGAAGGCGGCAUCCUGGACCAAUUCUGACGCUGAGGAGCGAAAGCCAGGGGAGCAAGCGGG
rnacentral:rRNA from 1 species